rnacentral:rRNA from 1 species
AGCCCACUCUAGCCCAACCACCCCAUAAAAACUAACUCCAACUCUAAACUAAAACAUUCUCCCGUCUAAGUAUAGGCGAUAGAAAAGACACCAGGAGCGAUAGACUUCCAGUACCGCAAGGGAAAGAUGAAAUAACAAUGAAAAACCUAAGCAACAAACAGCAAAGACAAACCCUUGUACCUCUUGCAUCAUGAUUUAGCAAGAACAACCAAGCAAAGUGAACCUUAAGCUUGCCACCCCGAAACCCAAGCGAGCUACUCACAAGCAGCUAUCCCUGAGCAAACCCGUCUCUGUAGCAAAAGAGUGGGAAGACUUGUUAGUAGAGGUGAAAAGCCUACCGAGCUGGGUGAUAGCUGGUUGCCUGUGAAACGAAUCUAAGUUCUCCCUUAAUUUUACCUCACCUAUAGACUUGAACACUUACCCGUAACAAAUUAAGAGCAAUUUAAAGGAGGAACAGCUCCUUUAAAAAAGAAUACAACCUCCUCCAGAGGAUAAGCACUUAUCCUACAAACUUGUAGGCCUUUAAGCAGCCACCACCAAAGAAUGCGUCAAAGCUCAAUCCCCAAAAAAUCCAAAAGUAAAUGCGACUCCCUCAUCCACAACAGGCUAACCUAUGAAAAAUAGGAGCAUUAAUGCUAAAAUAAGUAACUAAGGAUUAUCCUUCUAAAGCACAAACUUACAUCCUACAUUAUUAACAGGCCUACUAAUACCCUAACCACCACAAGACUAAGUAUUUAACAAUCCUGUUAAACCAACCCAGGAGUGCCCAUCUAGAAAGAUUUAAACCUGUAAAAGGAACUAGGCAAAUUCAAGGCCCGACUGUUUACCAAAAACAUAGCCUUCAGCACACCAAGUAUUGAAGGUGGUGCCUGCCCAGUGACAUUAAGUUUAACGGCCGCGGUAUCCUAACCGUGCAAAGGUAGCGCAAUCAAUUGUCCCAUAAAUCGAGACUUGUAUGAAUGGCCAAACGAGGUCUUAACUGUCUCUUACAGGUAAUCAGUGAAAUUGAUCUCCCUAUGCAAAAGUAGGGAUAAACCCAUAAGACGAGAAGACCCUGUGGAACUUAAAAACCAGCAGCCACUCUAAACUAAACCAAAGCCCACCAGGCUCACUACCAUAGACAAUUGGCUCGCAUUUUUCGGUUGGGGCGACCUUGGAGAAAAAAACAUCCUCCAAAAAUAAGACCACCCCUCUUAACCAAGACCAACUAUUCAACGUACCAAUAGUAACCAGACCCAGCAUAAGCUGAUCAAUGAACCAAGCUACCCCAGGGAUAACAGCGCAAUCCCCCUCAAGAGCCCAUAUCGACAGGGGGGUUUACGACCUCGAUGUUGGAUCAGGACAUCCUAAUGGUGCAGCCGCUAUUAAGGGUUCGUUUGUUCAACGAUUAAUUAGUCCUACGUGAUCUGAGUUCAGACCGGAGUAAUCCAGGUCGGUUUCUAUCUAUGAUUAGACCUUUCCCAGUACGAAAGGACCGGAAAAGUGAGGCCAAUGCUCCAAGUACGCCUCCUCCAAAAAGUAAUGAAAUCAUCUAAAUUACCAAAAAGACUUACAUCACAACCCUAAACAAGGGCA